rnacentral:misc_RNA from 1 species
GAUGAAGAACGCAGCGAAAUGCGAUAAGUAGUGUGAAUUGCAGAAUUACCUGAAUCAUCGAAUCUUUGAACGCACAUUGCGCCCCCUGGUAUUCCGGGGGGCAUGCCUGUCCGAGCGUCAUUGCUGCCCUCAAGCACGGCUUGUGUGUUGGGCCUCCGUCCUCCUCCCGGGGGACGGGCCCGAAAGGCAGCGGCGGCACCGCGUCCGGUCCUCGAGCGUAUGGGGCUUCGUCACCCGCUCUUGUAGGCCCGGCCGGCGCUUGCCGACACAUCAAUCUUUUUUCCAGGUUGACCUCGGAUCAGGUAGGGAUACCCGCUGAACUUAAGCAUAUCAAUAAGCGGAGGA